UUGUAGUUGAUUUUCCACCACCUGCCUCAUGAGAUUCUGCAGGCUUACGCACUUGAUGACUUUGACCCUGCUUCGUUGUGGGCUCGAGUCCAUUUGAUGAUCCCUGGAAUACACCUACUUGUUUUACUACUUCUGGUUGUGAAGUGCUAGGUUCUCCCUGGCGAUCAUCAGGCAAUGAAGUUCUUGUUGCUACCAAACCAGAUAUUGUUGAGAGGUUGGGUCUAGCAGGUAGCAAGUGAGGAUUAUCAAGAUCCUUCCCAGACUUCGUCCAUCCAGCUCCAUGGACCAGUGGCCCUGAAUGUGAGACCUUCCUAAGUUGAUGUUCUUGGAACUCUCUUCUCCCUUCUUUAGUAGCUUGAGUUUGUUUAGAAGGAUCAACCAGAAAACCAGAAACAGUUUGCUCCCUGUGAGAGUUGAACAUCUCACCUCUACUAUUUGCAUUAGAAUGACGCCUU
rnacentral:lncRNA from 1 species